UACGGAGGAGGCAAGCGUUAUCCGGAAUUAUUGGGCGUAAAGCGUCCGCAGGUGGCACUUCAAGUCUGUCGUCAAAGACUGGGGCUUAACCCUGGAAAGGCGGUGGAAACUGAAGCGCUAGAGUGCGGUAGGGGUAGAGGGAAUUCCCGGUGUAGCGGUGAAAUGCGCAGAUAUCAGGAAGAACACCUAUGGCGAAGGCAGCUCUCUGGGACGGUACUGACGCUGAGACGCGAAAGCGUGGGGAGCGAACAGG
rnacentral:rRNA from 1 species